AGUGAACGCUGGCGGUAGGCCUAACACAUGCAAGUCGAACGGCAGCACAGUAAGAGCUUGCUCUUACGGGUGGCGAGUGGCGGACGGGUGCGGAAUCCAUCGGAAUCUACUUUUUCGUGGGGGAUAACGAAGGGAAACUUACGCUAAUACCGCAUACGACCUACGGGUGAAAGCAGGGGAUCUUCGGACCUUGCGCGAUUGAAUGAGCCGAUGUCCGAUUAACUAGUUGGCGGGGGAAAGGCCCACCAAGGCGACGAUCCGUAGCCGGUCGGGGAGGAUGAUCUGGCCCCUUGGAAGUGGGAGAACGCUCGGACUACUGCGGGAGGGAGCAGUGGGGAACAUUGGACAGUGGGUGCAAGUCCUAUCCAAGCAUUCCGCAUGGGGCAAGAAGGCGUCUGCGUGGUAAAGGCCUUUUGUUGGGAAAGAAAAUCGGCCGCCUAGUACCCCGCCGUGCUGACGGUACCCAAAGAAUAAGCACCGGCUAACUUCGUG
rnacentral:rRNA from 1 species